AGAGAGAGAGAGGUGAAAUUAGAGAGGAGGGUAUAAUGGUCAUGUAAAAAGUGUGAAAAUAGAUCUUUUAAUCAUUUAAGAUGUUAUAAGGUGGCUAUUUUAUCAUGUAACAUGUUUUAAUGUUGAAUUUUUUAUUAUCUGGAAUAUUUAAAGACUUUUUUAUCAUUUAUACCUUUAAAUGGUAGUUUAGUGUUAUAUACCCAAUUAUAUUCAAUCUUAAUCAAUUUCAUCCUGAUUUUUUCUUUGCUUUAAAUUUAUAUUCAUGACUUCAAUGUGUGUGUGUAUAUAUAUUCAUUACAAAACUAUUCGAUUUGUAAAAAAGUUUGAGUUCUUAUUCUUCUUCAUAUGUUUUUGGUGUCGGCCUCUCUACAAUUUCCAGCAUAUUUUUUGUUGUAUUAUACUCGAAAAAUGUUUAAUUGUAAGGUACAUGUUCUUAUUCUUUGAUUAAUUUCUUCUUCUUUUUAGGUAUAUUAUUAUAUCAUUCUCAUCAUGAUCGAGAGAACUCUUACUCUCAACUAUUUACAUUUUUAAUGAACCUACUAAAUAGGGC
rnacentral:lncRNA from 1 species